CAAAACAACAAAAAACGCGCGAACGCGGAGGCACAAACAAAAUCUGUCACCGUUUUUCGCAAUAUAUAUAGUUUUUCGCAAUAUAGUUUGUCUCAAUAAUACUAAGUAACGUCAUGCUCUGUGAAGAUCAACUAAUGUCGGUGGACAACACACCAAUCAAGGGCUCCGGGAGCCUGAAUUCCUCAGCGUCCUCCAUUUCCAUAGAUGUGAAGCCCAUUCGGCAGAGUUGGGCCCAGGAGGUCCGUGCAGAGCUGGGGCACAGUGACGAGGCAUCCACUUCGCUGAACAGCAGCGCUGGCAGUAGCAGUGCCGACCAUGGCCAGGUAAUUGUGAAGAAGGAAGCGACAGAGAUAAAGCUGGAGCUUGAGGAUGGAGGUAACCGUGGGAUGGCGUUCGAGUUUUUGGAUGAUGUAAAUGAGGUAAAAUUUGACCGUCUGCUUAAGGAGGAAAAACUAAAGACCCCCUACAAACGACGCCACUCGCAGACGCCUCCGACGAAUGAAAACAGUCGCUCCAACAGCCCGAACAGCAGCUUGUCAUCCGGCAAUGGUGAUGCCAAUCCCAAAAGCAAGCAUAGCAAGUUGAAGGGGCACAAGGAGGAAAAACGCGUGCGCCACAACAGCUAUACAUCGUCGACGUCAUCAUCCUCCUCGUACGCUGAGGCUGAUCCAGCCGUAUUGUCGCGUCGUCAGAAGCAGAUCGAUUACGGAAAAAACACGGCCGCCUAUGAGCGGUACACUGAAAUGGUGCCAAAGGCCACACGUUCGCGUGAGGAUCCUCGCACGCCUAACAAAUAUGGAAAGUACAGCCGCCGCGCGUUCGAUGGCCUGGUCAAGAUUUGGCGCAAGAGUUUGCAUUUUUAUGAUCCGCCUACCCAACGCCGCGGUGAUGGCGAUUCCAAUUCCGACUCUGAUUCAGAUUAGCAAAAAACAGCAGAGCAGAGCAGAAAAGGCUUUCGAGGGGUUAAAUGUUUCAAAGGGGGCGUCGUGUACAUGGAAUUGUUACCACAUAUGUUUUGUUGAAUAAAAUGGCGUCUACAUCUUCAAAA
rnacentral:misc_RNA from 1 species